rfam:Botryotinia fuckeliana BcDW1 unplaced genomic scaffold Scaffold_87, whole genome shotgun sequence.
GGCCUCAUAGUCAAGUGGUUAAGACAUAAUGUUUUCAUCAUUACAUACGAGGGUUCGAACCCCUCUGAGGCUA